GACGAACGCUGGCGGCGUGCCUAAUACAUGCAAGUUGAGCGAUGAAGCUUGGUGCUUGCCCCAAUUUGAAGAGCAGCGAACGGGUGAGUAACGCGUGGGGAAUCUGCCUUUGAGCGGGGGACAACAUUUGGAAACGAAUGCUAAUACCGCAUAAUAACUUUAAACAUAAGUUUUAAGUUUGAAAGAUGCAAUUGCAUCACUCAAAGAUGAUCCCGCGUUGUAUUAGCUAGUUGGUGAGGUAAAGGCUCACCAAGGCGAUGAUACAUAGCCGACCUGAGAGGGUGAUCGGCCACAUUGGGACUGAGACACGGCCCAAACUCCUACGGGAGGCAGCAGGAGGGAAUCUUCGGCAAUGGACGAAAGUCUGACCGAGCAACGCCGCGGGAGUGAAGAAGGGUUUCGGAUCGUAAAACUCUGUUGGUAGAGAAGAACGUUGGUGAGAGUGGAAAGCUCAUCAAGUGACGGUAACUACCCAGAAAGGGACGGCUAACUACGUG
rnacentral:rRNA from 1 species